AAUACAUUAUUAAAUGUCAAUUCACAUUAUUUUUCUAUAACUUUCUCUUUGUCAUCACAGGAUUGAAUCACCCCUUUCAAAAGGGGUGAUCAUGAGUAGGAGAAAAACAUAAUGAUAGGUGAAACAUAGCCAAAAAUCUAUACCUUCAUCUAAAGAAACAGAACAUUACAAGCCAGCUGGACAUCCUGGCUAAAACAGGUGUCCAAUGAAAUCCUGCCUUACAGUAUUUCCAACAAGAUGUAUGUUCCAGAGAACGUUUCCUUCUCCCUAGGAUCGCCAACACUGCUGUAAUUAAUGCAUUUGUUGUUUGAAUGUUUGAUUAAUGACUCUUAUAGCCACUUAUGGUAAGAAUGUACACUGGAAAGCACAGAAGGAGAAACACCUGAAGCAGAACUCUAUCAUAUCUCCACUCACAGUCAACCUCAGUGAGUGAGAGCCUACCUGAAGACUUGCAAGUCAAAAAUUAUAACUUGUGUUUAAACUCCUCAGUUCAGGAGCAGGUUAUUAACAACACUGCUAUGGUCAUAGCUGAUUACUACAAUGACUCUUUCCAAACUAUCCAGAAAGACUUCCUGAACGAAUGAAUAAAUGCUAAAAAAAAAUGUAAAUAACAUAAAUGUUAUACCCUGGCAGUCUAACAGUUGACUAAAAU
rnacentral:lncRNA from 1 species